UCAUCGGUGCCGGUGUCUCCGGUAACUGGCUAGCAACGAAAUCUUCCUAGUGUCAGAGCUAAUUGAAUGAAUUGGAGUUGAAGAUGGUUUAACCAAAAACGAGUUUCCUCUUCACUCAUUGAUCAGAGUUUAUCUUAUCUAAUACGAUUGGUUCGAUAAAAAUCUGAAAUGAAAAAAAUUUUCACUUCCUCGGAAGUUGAAUGGGCAGGCCCCCGCAGACAGCUUCUUCAAUGCCAAAACCUACUGACUUGAAUGGUUUUCCCAGAUUUGCAUUAAUGAUCCAUUCAAUUUCCGCCACUUCCAAUCUCAAUUGAAUGGGUAGGCCAGCUAGUUUUUGACAAAAACUUCCCAGAACCUCCACCACCCAUAAUCUGGGUCGAAUCUGUAUCAGACGUCAGCAACUUUGAAGAGUUGAGGCGACAAGUUAAUUCCUACUCUCCAAGAUAAAGCAGUUAAGUCCUGUAGGAAGAGAUUAGUGGUCUUUAGGUUAGGGAAAGGCUUCCCACGGAUCUUGUGAUAAUACUGGAAGCAAUGAGAAUAAUUGCAGUCGCAUUAUCUCCGGUUACACCAAACUUGAGUUGGAGAAUAUGGCUACUCAAAAGAUCAGUUUAACAGAGCAACCUGGGGUGAUACUAAGUGGGUGGACUAGAAGACAGAGAUGGAAGAUGGGAGAAAACCAGCAGCCAAACAGGUUGUGAAAAACAAAGGGAAACCAAAGGCUAAAGCAGUAGCAGUAGCAGAAGCAUAAAAAGUACCAUCUUUCUUUCUGUAUUUGAACCACAGUUCAUAUUUAUAGAAAUUGUCUUUGAUAA